rnacentral:rRNA from 1 species
GAUGAACGCUGGCGGCGUGCCUAAUACAUGCAAGUCGAGCGAACAGAUAAGGAGCUUGCUCCUUUGACGUUAGCGGCGGACGGGUGAGUAACACGUGGGUAACCUACCUAUAAGACUGGAAUAACUCCGGGAAACCGGGGCUAAUGCCGGAUAACAUUUAGAACCGCAUGGUUCUAAAGUGAAAGAUGGUUGUGCUAUCACUUAUAGAUGGACCCGCGCCGUAUUAGCUAGUUGGUAAGGUAACGGCUUACCAAGGCAACGAUACGUAGCCGACCUGAGAGGGUGAUCGGCCACACUGGAACUGAGACACGGUCCAGACUCCUACGGGAGGCAGCAGUAGGGAAUCUUCCGCAAUGGUCGAAAGCCUGACGCAGCAACGCCGCGUGAGUUAUGACGGUCUUCGGAUCGUAAAACUCUGUUAUUAGUGAAGAACAAAUGUGUAAGUAACUGUGCACGUCUUGACGGUACCUAAUCAGAAAGCCACGGCUAACUACGUG